rnacentral:rRNA from 1 species
GCCACUGCUAUUGGGGUUCGGCUAAGCCAUGCGAGUGGAGGGCGUCCCGCAAGGGAUGGCCCCGCAGACGGCUCAGUAACACGUCGUCAACCCACCUUAGGGUGGGGGACAACCUUGGGAAACUGAGGAUAAUCCCCCAUAGGCGGGGGAGGCUAGAAUGCGCCCCCGCUGAAAGCUCAGGCGCCCUAGGACGGGACGGCGGCCUAUCAGGUAGUUGGUGUG